GUUGAGUGAUACUCAUCGUCACUUUAUAAUAUGCAUUUCAAAAUAUUUAUUAGGAAAAGCAACUCCCAAUAAGUAUGCAACCAAAUAUACUUCAGCGUGUAGUAGGUAUUGCCUAGAUUUUAAUAAGUAUUUGGACAAAGUUGGUGACUUUUAGGGGAAUUCGUAAUCUAGAAGUUGGUCCGUGUGUCGAUACGGCUUCCGGCUGACGUGUUUGUCAUUGCUUCGGGGAGAGCAGGCCAGCACUUAAUUUUCAACUCUUGUACAGAAGACAUCUGAUCUCCCGAUCUCCGGUGGCCAUUGCCAGAAUUUACCUUUUAGUUGAAAAAGUUAUAAGAUUAAUUUACGUUGGAGGAAGUUUUUAUUUUGUUUUGGGUUUUGUGAAGAGUUUGAGGAGAAGAGUUUUUGUUUCCAAUACUUUUUUGAAGAGCAAUGGCCACUGGAGAAAAAGGAAAUUAAGUCACCAUUUUUGUUUUUGUUGGAUAUGGAAUAAGCAAUCAGUUUGGGGUUUCUUUUGGUGUGGAUUGGGAUUUUAUGUUUUUUUGGAAUCAACAUUGAUUUUUACCGGUACUAGUAAGUACCUCCUCAUCGGACCAUCCAUAUUGUGGUUGAGUAUCUCCCCAGGAUUGGAAACCGGAGGAUACCUACCUGGCUCUCCCAUCGUCAACCUCUCAAGGAGUUUGGAGAAGCCUCCGUCCCUACUUUUGUAGAAGCGACAGGUUUUUAUUAUAAAAUAUACAUUUUCAAUUCUUUUAAAUAACUGCUUGCAAUAUUAAUAUUUUUUCCAAUAAAUUAGAAAUAACCUUAAUAAUCAUAUAAACUCAUUUUUUCUAAAAUCACCAUUUGUAAUAUUCAAUCAUUUUUUUUCAACAAGUUUUAUCGUUCACUGUUCGUACCAUUCAUUUAAAAUAGUCCGGGAAUUAUAAACUAUAUGUUAAGGUGUUGUAUACAAUAUCUACGGUUUUAAUUCCUAUUUAAUAACCUUUAUUUCAGUUAACAGGUAUGGUACUCAGGGUUAUCACUUAGGUCAGAUACGAGAUUGUCAACCAAUACUGUAACCAAUAUCCAUAAUACAUUUUUGUUUAAGUAAAUAACUUGUGAUUCCCAAUAACUGUCUUGAUCUAACUAAUUAAGUUCUUUGUUUUAAUUUUUAUUGCGAUCUCAUUGUCGACAGGAGCGUACUUUUCUAGUACAACAGGUACUGAUUAGCUAGUUUGUAUAAAAUUGUAUAUAGGGGUUAUAGGUUUUUUUUCAUUAAAUUUGUUGGUUGUACAUA
rnacentral:lncRNA from 1 species